rnacentral:misc_RNA from 1 species
UCAACCAAACCUGGAGCCCCAUGUUUGAUCUGGUAAACGUAUUUGAAGUUUUUCUUCCUCAGCUUCUUUUGUAUCCCAAUCCAUCUGAUCCAUUGAACGGAGAAGCUGCUGCUCUGAUGAUGCGUGAUCGCACUGCUUAUGAACAAAGAGUGAAAGAAUACUGUGAGAAAUAUGCAAAGCCAGAGGAUGUUGGGGCCAAGCCGGAAGAAAAAUCAAGUGAUGAGGAGCUGAGUGAUGAUGAUGAUUAUGCCUCCGAGGAUGAGCAAGUUGCUGGCAAAGCUGAUCCUUAAUUGCGUGUAUACAUGCAAUCUAAUUGUCUGUAUCUGUACAUGAUAUUCAGCUCUUGGGAAAUGAGACCCUUAAAAAACUGAAGGCUCAUGGGAAAAUUCCUGCCCCUUCUGUCUUUUAUUUUCCAUGGAUGUUCUGUAAAUUAUUCAACUCAGGAUCAAUGCCUUCAAUAUUCAUUUCAUGUAGGG